UACGUAGGGUGCAAGCGUUGUCCGGAAUUAUUGGGCGUAAAGAGCUCGUAGGCGGUUUGUCGCGUCUGCUGUGAAAUCCCAGGGCUUAACCCUGGGCCUGCAGUGGGUACGGGCAAACUAGAGUGCGGUAGGGGAGAUCGGAAUUCCUGGUGUAGCGGUGAAAUGCGCAGAUAUCAGGAGGAACACCGGUGGCGAAGGCGGAUCUCUGGGCCGUAACUGACGCUGAGGAGCGAAAAGCAUGGGGUAGCGAACAGGG
rnacentral:rRNA from 1 species